UGGGCUCCUGGGAGCUGCAGGCACACGAUUCCAUGUUGCACAGGGCUCAGAGCGUUUAUGAGGAGGGAUUACACCCUGAGGAGGGAAUGUCAAGAGCAGCUGAUUGAAAUUGCAGGGGAAUUAAUUUAGGAAGGGCUCGAGCGUCAGUCUCUCCACAGUCACGAUGGGAUCCAUCCAUCUAUCACAUUAUCUGAGGAAGCUGUCUGGAAUCCUUUUAUAGAUGCUGAAGAAAAACAGGAAAUGGAACUUUCUGGAGUGCAAUUAAUCUCAUU